rnacentral:rRNA from 1 species
AGAGUUUGAUCCUGGCUCAGAUUGAACGCUGGCGGCAUGCUUUACACAUGCAAGUCGAACGGGGUGAGGGGGCAACCGCUCAUUCAGUGGCGAACGGGUGAGUAAUGCAUCGGAACGUGUCCCGCAGUGGGGGAUAACUCGGCGAAAGCCGAGCUAAUACCGCAUACGCUCUGCGGAGGAAAGCGGGGGAUUCGCAAGAACCUCGUGCUAUGGGGGCGGCCGAUGUCCGAUUAGCUAGUUGGUGGGGUAAUGGCCUACCAAGGCGACGAUCGGUAGCUGGUCUGAGAGGAUGAUCAGCCACACUGGGACUGAGACACGGCCCAGACUCCUACGGGAGGCAGCAGUGGGGAAUUUUGGACAAUGGGGGCAACCCUGAUCCAGCCAUGCCGCGUGCGGGAAGAAGGCCUUCGGGUUGUAAACCGCUUUUAGCCGGGACGAAAGCUGUACGGAUAACACCCGUGCAGGUUGACGGUACCGGCGGAAUAAGCACCGGCUAACUACGUGCCAGCCGCCGCGGUAAUAC